CCAAAAAUACAUAAAUUAAUAAUAAAAAUUUAUACAUUAGUAUCAAACAUCAUCAUCCUACAUCCAUUAGUAUCAAACAUCAUCAUCCUAUAUUACAUUGAAACAUAAGUAUAACUUUUUUGAUCAAAUCUUUUCGCAAUACUAUCUGGAGCUGUAGAUCCUCUAUGGGCAACUUUCUUAACCAGCUUCAUGACAAUACUAUUAUGAAUAUCUGCAAAUUGUCCUUGGAAGUAUAUGGCUGCUUGGCGCCAGGUUCUUCACCUCCUUCAAGAGUUCCAUUUACAGGUCUCUCAUAUCUUCCGUGAGGGCAAUUGCGCUGCUGACAUUAUGGCUAAUAACAGCCGGGAGGAAGGCUGGUGGCCUUACGAAAUUGAUGUUAUUAAGGAUGCGGUUCGUCGGGAUAUGUCUACUCAUAGUCAUCUUCGCAUUAAGAAUUAGUUUUCUCGAUGCCUUUUUCUGUUUGGUUAACAACUGGAGCGCUUUUUCUGUUUGGGUUCUUUCUGCUGUUUGGGUUUUUCUUUCUGGCAUUUCUUCGAGCAUGUUGUAUGCUGGGUUUUGGAGCAGGUGCUCUUUCGGGUUGUGGAGGUUUGGGGCGGCGGGUCAGUCUUUUUUCAAUCCCUGGGUGCGCUCGGGAUUGAGGCUGAUCCAUGCUCGUUCCGUUGGUUGCUCUGCGAUGAAUGUUUUGCUUCAUCGGUGGAGUUCUUUAUCGGACAACGAGAACUGGUCAGUGAUGCGUUGGUUCCGGCUCUUUUAUGAGCUUUUUUUCUUUGGCUUUGCUGCCGUUCGGAUUUGGACGUCGGUUUCUCGCUUCUGCUUUGCCGUUUGUAAUUUUGCUGUUGCUGAUAACGGCUGCUUGGUCUAUCUUCCGAUCGAUCCAAGCGGAGAAAGAUUAGAUUGUAAGUGCUGUUCGGUUUUCCUUUCUUCGAACACUUGGACUGCGCCGAGCCAGGGUUUGUGUCUGGAAUAUGUUGGUGGCGUGUGGAGUUUAUGGGCGACCAUUCAUGCUUUUUUCAAUCUUCGGGUGCGCUCGGGAUUGAGCUUGAUUUGGGUUUGCCAUGCUGGUGAUCCCACGAUGGAGGUUCUCACUCUUCAUCGGUGGGGAAUUUCUUCGGACAACGAGCUUUGGUCGGUGAUGCGUUGGUUCCGGCUCUUUUAAGAGCAUAGUUUUCAAAUUCGUUUUUUUAGCUAUUAUGGAUUUGGCCCUCUUUAAGGAUGAUUCUGAUCGAUCGUUAGGUGGCUGUUUGGAGUGGUUGGUCUUUGUGCGUUUGUUUCUUCCCGGGCUUUUAGUUUGUACUCUUGCUUCGUUUUUUGUCGGGCACGGGUUUGUUGAUGUUUUUUGUUUUUACUGCGUUCGUAAGCCGGGAUUAUUUAGGGGUGAUGGUGAGGCCGGAACUUCUGAAAUAAUUCUAACUCCGCUUAUGAACGCCGGGUCCUUUAGACGAGUACUCUUUUUCCUCUUUAAGGUUUCCCUCGUUGGGUUUUACUUAAAGAGGUUUUAAUGAGGCUCGGCCCUUAGUCUGCUCUCUUGUGCUUUCAAGGGUUCUUUCUAGGUCUUUUUUCUCUUUUCUUUUUUAAUAAAAAUCUAAUUUAAUAAUGAAUAUCUGCAAAUUGAGAGGAAAAAUUAGACAAAAAUAUUAUAUUCAAACAUCUCAGUUGCUUCACCAAAAAAUUUAAGAAACUUAUAAGAGAUGCUUAUCAAAAAUCUACACUGAAGAUAACAGAUAGCAAUUUGUCAAGAAUGUAGAUAGCAACAUGAAGUGACUUAUCGUUGUACAAAACCACCCUUAUCCCAUAAUUAGAAUCCAUUAGCUUAUUGAACGAGUUCAUGAAAGGUUACCUUGACUAAGCUGAACAACCACAAAUUUGUCUAUUCAUAAUUCUACAAAUCAAUUCUAGCUCAAGCUAGCCAACUAAUCAUCACACAAGAUUCUAGUCAACUCUACAAUUCUUCAUGAUCUUACGUAUCAUAAACUAGCAUAAUUUACUCCAGGAUUGAUAAGCAUUUUGUAUUUUUUUUCUUCAACUUAUAGUUACCUGAUUGUUGCUGAAUACAUUCAGCAUCAACGUCAUCAAGGUUUACAUCCUCAUCCUGUUCACAAUGAGGUGCCUUAUAAUCUUGAAUUUUGCAAGUGCAAUACUUGAUAGGAUCUGCACGUAAACCCAAUAAAUAUGCUAACCACCUUUUUUGACACUCAAACAUAGGCGAUGGGUUUAUUCCCUGCAACCAAUGAAACUAUUUUUCAAAUUUAGUUAUAAUAUAACUCUAUUUAAUGAACUAACUCUGUUUUCACUAAUUAAGAAGGUGAAUAGUCCCUCAUAAUACAAUGAAUAUUUAUUUAGUAACGGAUAUCAGAGACUCAAUAAUAUAUAUCCACACAUAUUGUACUAUGUUCACUUCAGAUAUGAAACAUGAAAGUUUAAUGUAUAUAUAUCUAUCUAUCAAUCUUAUAAACUAAUUAUGGCUUAACUUUAGAGUGUCUUGUGCUAUUAACCUCUGGCUUUCAUUUUCUGAUAGGUUAGGUGAUCACAAGUUGGCAGGAAAAAAUGCAUGGUACCUCAGAAGUACUAUAACCAAAUUAGAAUAACUCAUAUUCAUGACUACUAUAACCACAACAAGUUAAUCAAAUCACAAAUUUAGAAAGCAUAGGAAUCAAUUCAAUUCACAACGAUAAAUUCAUGAAAUUUUAAAGAAAACAUUGCAACAAUAAAUUCAUGAAAAGAUCGCAAUAUUGGUGAUUCAAACGAUCACCACUGCCUAAUCCCAUCAUCAGAUCAGCACAUUUGCAUUAGAUCACAUUAAUCUACCCAAAUUUGCAACUCAAAUGCAAAUGUAGACAUUUCCAUGAGUGCUGAUGCUACUCACAAAGCUAUCAACUGUAGAUCUUGAAGUAACACAGCAGCCAAUAAACCUUAAACUGAUG
rnacentral:lncRNA from 1 species